rnacentral:piRNA from 1 species
UAUGACCUAGACAGUCAAACUGCUUCUCUUU